UUAGAGAAACUAAUUGACCGUUAUCUCGUGGAACACAUCGUUUCGGAUCUCAUGACCCGCGAGUUAAGCCGCCAAUUGUUCGAUUAAAUAAUUCGAUUAUAUUAAAUCUCUACCGAGACGUCUGACAAUACCGCAGCUGAAUAGUUUAGUUCUUUAUGCAUAAUAAGGAUACACAAUUACGAUCGAAGAUAUGCUUUACUAUCCAUACAUCAUUGGACCCAACCAGGUUGAUUUAAUCGAUCGCUCCACCUGCUAAACCUGUCCUGGAUUCGACGAUGCGACGUCAUGACCGCAAAACCGUGUAACACUCGUUCCACGUCGAUAUAGCAGUUGCCAGGAAGUAACGGAGUAACAGUAAUGACGCCCGGUCCAGUAAUUGCUUCGAAUAAGGAUCCAAUAACUGAAUUAACCACCUCUAAUCAUUAUCCUGAGUAUCUCAUUGACUAAUUCCUUUAUUGAAUCUGAACAGAACCAACAUCGAUUUACAUAUGUUAAUUUUGUUACAGGGUAAAAUGAUAAAUCGCUGAAGCAACGCUAUUAUCAUUCGAGUGUGAAGCAGUUAAGGAGCGUUGCUGAUUUGUGAAAAUAUUUAACAAGGAUUUUCGCUCUGAAUGAACAUCGAUCAGAACUACAGAAGUCAUGGAACGUGUGUCCUUGCUCUCAGCGUGUAGAUUGAGCCGUUUACUCAAUUUCCCGGAGCAUUCAAAUGAGAGAUGCCAGACGAUGAACAGCAGCAUAAGAUUCGACUGUCAUUCUCUAAGCAUUCAAUGCCUGUUAAUGAUACUUGCAGUUAUGAGGAUAUGACAGGGGCUUGCGUUAGCGAAAGUUCUUACUUAAGCAUAGUAAGAAAAGUAGCGAGGGUUAAGAGAGCAAAGUGUUUUUCCAUACGUGACAUCACGUGGAUAUUGCUGCUAUUAAUAGCUGGUCUUUUAUCUUAGUGGUUUGUGCGAACACCUAGUGAAGAUCAUAGAGCGUGAUUUAUGUUAUAGAGGUUGAGCUUGUAAUUAGCAGUGCUUAUAUCUUUGCCCAUGACAUUAUGUAAACAAGGAAGUACUGAUUGGUAAUGGUCUAAUGAAUAGCAGUAAUAAAUACGGAAAUACAUAGAAUAA